UUUCCGGUGAUCCUGCCCGGAGGUCACUGCUAUUGGGAUUCGCGUAAGCCAUGCGAGUCGAGAGGGUUCGGCCCUCGGCUGACGGCUCAGUAACGCGUAGUCAACCUACCCUAUGGACGGGGAUAACCUCGGGAAACUGAGAAUAAUACCCGAUAGAACAUUAUACCUGGAAUGGUUUAUGUUUCAAAUAAUUUAUUGCCGUAGGAUGGGACUGCGGCCUAUCAGUUUGUUGGUGAGGUAAUGGCCCACCAAGACUAUUACAGGUACGGGCUCUGAGAGGAGUAGCCCGGAGAUGGGUACUGAGACACGGACCCAGGCCCUAUGGGGCGCAGCAGGCGAGAAACCUUUGCAAUGUGCGCAAGCACGACAAGGUUAAUCCGAGUGUUUCCUGCUAAAGGAAUCUUUUGUUAGUUCUAAAACCACUGAUGAAUAAGGGGUGGGCAAGUUCUGGUGUCAGCCGCCGCGGUAAAACCAGCACCUCAAGUGGUCAGGAGGAUUAUUGGGCCUAAAGCAUCCGUAGCCUGUUCUAUAAGUUUCCGGUUAAAUCCAUUAGCUCAACUAAUGGGCUGCCGAAAAUACUGUGGAACUAGGGAGUGGGAGAGGUAGACGGUACUCGGUAGGAAGGGGUAAAAUCCUUUGAUCUAUUGAUGACCACCUGUGGCGAAGGCGGUCUACCAGAACACGUUCGACGGUGAGGGAUGAAAGCUGGGGGAGCAAACCGGAUUAGAUACCCGGGUAGUCCCAGCUGUAAACGAUGCAGACUCGGUGAUGCGCUGGCUUGUGGCCAGUGCAGUGCCGCAGGGAAGCCGUUAAGUUUGCCGCCUGGGAAGUACGUACGCAAGUAUGAAACUUAAAGGAAUUGGCGGGGGAGCACCACAAGGGGUGAAGCCUGCGGUUCAAUUGGAUUCAACGCCGGG
rnacentral:rRNA from 1 species